rnacentral:rRNA from 1 species
CUUGACUGUAGGCAGUUAUUGGGUUGAGGUACCUUUUGUGUAGGAUAGGUGGGAGGCUAUGAAGCUGUGGCGCUAGUCAUGGUGGAGCCAACGUUGAAAUACCACCCUGAAUGUACUUUAAUUCUAACUUUGACCUGUGAAACCAGGCAAAGGACAGUGGCUGUUGGGCAGUUUGACUGGGGCGGUCUCCUCCAAAAAAGUAACGGAGGAGUUCAAAGGUUCCCUCAGCCCGGUUGGCAAUCGGGCGUCGAGCGCAAAGGUAAAAGGGAGCUUAACUGCGAGACUUAUCAGUCGAGCAGAUGCGAAAGCAGGACUUAGUGAUCCGGUGAUUCCGAAUGGAAGGGUCAUCGCUCAUCAGAUAAAAGGUA